rnacentral:rRNA from 1 species
AACGAACGCUGGCGGCAGGCCUAACACAUGCAAGUCGAACGCUCCGCAAGGGGAGUGGCGCACGGGUGAGUAACACGUGGGAACCUACCUUCUGGUACGGAACAACCAAGGGAAACUUUGGCUAAGACCGUAUACGACCUCCGGGUGAAAGAUUGAUCGCCGGAAGAGGGGCCCGCGUCCGAUUAGGUAGUUGGUGAGGUAACGGCUCACCAAGCCUUCGAUCGGUAGCUGGUCUGAGAGGAUGACCAGCCACACUGGGACUGAGACACGGCCCAGACUCCUACGGGAGGCAGCAGUGGGGAAUAUUGGACAAUGGGCGCAAGCCUGAUCCAGUCAUGCCGCGUGAGUGAUGAAGGCCUU